GGGGUUGUGGCUCAGGGGCAGAGCACUUGUCCAGCAUGUGAGAGGCACUGGGUUCAAUCCUCAGCACCACA
rnacentral:tRNA from 1 species